rnacentral:rRNA from 1 species
AUUGAACGCUGGCGGCAUGCCUUACACAUGCAAGUCGAACGGCAGCAUGGAGAGCUUGCUCUCUGAUGGCGAGUGGCGAACGGGUGAGUAAAGCAUCGGAACGUACCGUGUAGUGGGGGAUAACGUAGCGAAAGUUACGCUAAUACCGCAUACGCACUGAGGUGGAAAGCAGGGGAUCGCAAGACCUUGCGCUAUACGAGCUGCCGGUGUCAGAUUAGCUAGUUGGUAGGGUAAAGGCCUACCAAGGCGACGAUCUGUAGCGGGUCUGAGAGGAUGAUCCGCCACACUGGGACUGAGACACGGCCCAGACUCCUACGGGAGGCAGCAGUGGGGAAUUUUGGACAAUGGGGGCAACCCUGAUCCAGCCAUGCCGCGUGAGUGAAGAAGGCCUUCGGGUUGUAAAGCUCUUUCGGCCGGGAAGAAAUCGCACAGGCUAAUACUCUGUGUGGAUGACGGUACCGGCAUAAGAAGCACCGGCUAACUACGUGCCAGCCGCCGCCGUAA